rfam:Gossypium arboreum cultivar AKA8401 contig_3123_7, whole genome shotgun sequence.
GGGUGCGAUCAUACCAGCACUAAUGCACCGGAUCCCAUCAGAACUCUGCAGUUAAGCGUGCUUGGGCGAGAGUAGUACUAGGAUGGGUGCCCUCCUGGGAAGUCCUCGUGUUGCACCCC